GGGUGAGUAACACGUAUCCAACCUGCCCUUUACUCGGGGAUAGCCUUUCGAAAGAAAGAUUAAUACCCGAUAGCAUAAUGAUUCCGCAUGGUUUCAUUAUUAAAGGAUUCCGGUAAAGGAUGGGGAUGCGUUCCAUUAGGUUGUUGGUGAGGUAACGGCCCACCAAGCCUUCGAUGGAUAGGGGUUCUGAGAGGAAGGUCCCCCACAUUGGAACUGAGACACGGUCCAAACUCCUACGGGAGGCAGCAGUGAGGAAUAUUGGUCAAUGGGCGCUAGCCUGAACCAGCCAAGUAGCGUGAAGGAUGAAGGCUCUAUGGGUCGUAAACUUCUUUUAUAUAAGAAUAAAGUGCAGUAUGUAUACUGUUUUGUAUGUAUUAUAUGAAUAAGGAUCGGCUAACUCCGUGCCAGCAGCCGCGGUAAUACGGAGGAUCCGAGCGUUAUCCGGAUUUAUUGGGUUUAAAGGGAGCGUAGGUGGACUGGUAAGUCAGUUGUGAAAGUUUGCGGCUCAACCGUAAAAUUGCAGUUGAUACUGUCAGUCUUGAGUACAGUAGAGGUGGGCGGAAUUCGUGGUGUAGCGGUGAAAUGCUUAGAUAUCACGAAGAACUCCGAUUGCGAAGGCAGCUCACUGGACUGCAACUGACACUGAUGCUCGAAAGUGUGGGUAUCAAACAGGAUUAGAUACCCUGGUAGUCCACACAGUAAACGAUGAAUACUCGCUGUUUGCGAUAUACAGUAAGCGGCCAAGCGAAAGCAUUAAGUAUUCCACCUGGGGAGUACGCCGGCAACGGUGAAACUCAAAGGAAUUGACGGGGGCCCGCACAAGCGGAGGAACAUGUGGUUUAAUUCGAUGAUACGCGAGGAACCUUACCCGGGCUUAAAUUGCAGUGGAAUGAUGUGGAAACAUGUCAGUGAGCAAUCACCGCUGUGAAGGUGCUGCAUGGUUGUCGUCAGCUCGUGCCGUGAGGUGUCGGCUUAAGUGCCAUAACGAGCGCAACCCUUAUCUUUAGUUACUAACAGGUUAUGCUGAGGACUCUAGAGAGACUGCCGUCGUAAGAUGUGAGGAAGGUGGGGAUGACGUCAAAUCAGCACGGCCCUUACGUCCGGGGCUACACACGUGUUACAAUGGGGGGUACAGAAGGCAGCUAGCGGGUGACCGUAUGCUAAUCCCAAAAUCCUCUCUCAGUUCGGAUCGAAGUCUGCAACCCGACUUCGUGAAGCUGGAUUCGCUAGUAAUCGCGCAUCAGCC
rnacentral:rRNA from 1 species